CCUACGGGAGGCAGCAGUGGGGAAUAUUGCACAAUGGGGGGAACCCUGAUGCAGCCAAGCCGCGUGGAUGAAGGAGUAUUUCGGUAUGUAAAGCCCUAUCAGCAGGGAAGAACCAUGACGGUACCUGACUGAGAAGCACCGGCUAAAUACGUGCCAGCAGGCGCGGUACUACGUAUGGUGCAAGCGUUAUCCGGAUUUACGGGGUGUAACGGGAGCGCAGGCGGCGCGUUAAGCCUGGGGUGAAAGGCCGCGGCCCAACCGCGGGAUUGCAUUGGGAACUGGCGCGCUGGAGUGCCGGUAGGGCAGGCGGAAUUCGUAGUGUAGCGGUGAAAUGCGUAGAUAUUAGGAGGAACCCCAGUGGCGAAGGCGGCCUACUGGAGGGUGACUGACGCUGAGGCUCGAAAGCGUGGGGAGCAAACAGGAUUAGAUACCCCUGUAGUC
rnacentral:rRNA from 1 species